rnacentral:rRNA from 1 species
GAUGAACGCUAGCUACAGGCUUAACACAUGCAAGUCGAGGGGUAACGAGAGGAAAGCUUGCUUUCCUUGUCGACGACCGGCGCACGGGUGAGUAACGCGUAUCCAACCUGCCCCCAACUAGGGAAUAACCUUGCGAAAGUAAGACUAAUACCCUAUAAUUUCCUCAGAUGUCAUCUGACGAGGAAUAAAGAUUUAUCGGUUGUGGAUGGGGAUGCGUCUGAUUAGCUUGUUGGCGGGGUAACGGCCCACCAAGGCAACGAUCAGUAGGGGUUCUGAGAGGAAGGUCCCCCACAUUGGAACUGAGACACGGUCCAAACUCCUACGGGAGGCAGCAGUGAGGAAUAUUGGUCAAUGGGCGGAAGCCUGAACCAGCCAAGUAGCGUGCAGGAUGACGGCCCUAUGGGUUGUAAACUGCUUUUAUACAGGAAUAAAGUUAGCCACGUGUGGUUAUUUGUAGGUACUGUAAGAAUAAGCACCGGCUAACUACGUGCCAGCCGCCGCCGUAA